GUGGUAUUUGUCUGUGAAAUGAUUAUCUAUAUCGUAAAGCACUCGUUCAUUGCUAAGUUCAAUGACAUAAAGCCCUUUGCAUACUCUUCAGUUUCUUGAAGGACCUAUGCAAGCAGAGUGGGAUUGGACGUUGGAAAGGUGGAAGUGCGGGAUGAGAACCUGAAUAUCGUGGCAGACACUCAAACAAGAUCAAGAGCUUUGCCUACUUUCAUCAACUAUACUCGUGAUGGUAUAGAGGAUGACUUUGCUUUUAGGACACCCAAGUUCUGGCAAAUCUACUUUGCUCACGACUCUUGCAGGAAAACUGGACUCCAGCUUAAAGCGGGCAGCAAAGACUCGGAAAAGAUACACCCAAGAACAACUUGACGAGGUGCAUAUUGAAGUGGCUAACUAUUUGUAGACUUUGCUUUAGAUGGAGACUAGCAAAGUGAUUUUGAGUCAGGCUAGUUAGAUUUUUUGUGAGCCAUUUUGGAGUAGUUGUACUGUUAUAGCAACUGUGAACAAAACUACAUGUACACUUAUUGCAAUGGUAUGUUUUAGGCUAGCCUUGAAGUAGG